rnacentral:rRNA from 1 species
UAGGGAAUAUUGGUCAAUGGAGGAGACUCUGAACCAGCCAUGCCGCGUGCAGGAAGACGGCCUUCUGGGUUGUAAACUGCUUUUGACAGGGAAGAAAACGUCCAUGCGUGGAUAACUGACGGUACCUGUAGAAUAAGCACCGGCUAACUCCGUGCCAGCAGCCGCGGUAAUACGGAGGGUGCAAGCGUUGUCCGGAUUUAUUGGGUUUAAAGGGUGCGUAGGCUGUAGAUUAAGUCAGAGGUGAAAUCCAACAGCUUAACUGUUGAACUGCCUUUGAUACUGGUUUACUUGAGUACAGAUGAGGUAGGCGGAAUUUAUGGUGUAGCGGUGAAAUGCAUAGAUACCAUAAGGAACACCGAUAGCGAAGGCAGCUUACUAAACUGUAACUGACGCUGAGGCACGAAAGCAUGGGGAUCGAACAGG